GAUCUUUCUUCUGAACUCAUGUAGUUAAAGGACAGAAAUAUCUUAUCAAGAACCCAAACUUUGCUUCCUCCAGCCUUGUGGUGAAAUUUCGGACGCCAAGAACUCCAUCCUAUCCGGGGUCAGCAAAUGUUAGGCAGCAAUGAACUGAAAACGAUUUACCCUUGUCACCUCAAUGGAAUCCCAUCAUCAGCCUAGAAAACGCGAGAGCCCUAACAACUCCCGGAGAAAGAUGAGACCCUUGAUGCUGCAGAUUGCGCACACACACAUAUAUCCAGUAAACGGAUCAGCAAAUUAAUGUGUGGUUUUAGCUAAUUUCAGGACCAUUUGCAUCUGGUGUUUCAGGGGUAGGUAGGUGAGUAGGUAGGUAGGCGAGGUGUGUUCCUUCAGAGAUUCAGGCUAAGUUCUUGACCCUGACGGAUCAUUUCGACAAGCAGAUUUCGGUUAGGUUCCAUCUGAUCUCAGUGGUGCAGGUUCUGCAAAAAUGCCAAAGAGGAUGAUGAUGAUACAGAUCAGAUGUAUGCAUGUUGUCACAAUCUCAGAAUGAGAAUGUCAGACCCGAGAAUCAAGAAGGAGUAUUGUAGUAAACAACAUUGGUGGUGAUCACUGAUCAGAGCAUAUUGUACAGCUCAGGUCUGGCCUGACCUGAAAGAAAUUACAAAUAGUAUAUACUAUUACUUGUUCUGUUUUUUUUUUCUUCUGAAAGAAAAAAAAAUGUUCCUUGCGUGGUCAGAAUUAAGCCGAUAAUAAACAUUGAUCAAAGAACUGAUUAGAUUUUGUGUUUUGUAUUCGGUAUUUGCAUGAAUCUCGUUGCAGACAUCUCAUAUGGUCAGAGCAUAUCUAACCACUAUAUUACGUAAAAUAAAUAGUAUUUUCAUUCUGCAUGAGUGCACUAUGAUUUGUCUUGCCUUUUUCUUUUCCUUCGGAGCAUUAUGCUUUAUCUUUUGAUUUGUGUCUAUGGGCAUAAUAUUCAGAUACCAAAGUUGUAAGAUAGUUAAAUACGUUUUCAUUAUCUAAGAAACAAAAGUACACUGUACACACUGUUAAGGGUAUGUGCCCUUAACAUAUACUCCUUCCGUUCCAUAAUAGGUGACGUUUUUGACUUUUUAUUUGCAACGUUUGACCAUUCAUUUUAUUUGAAAAACUAGUGCAAAUAUAAAAAAAGAUAAGUCAUAUGUAAAGUACUUUUGACAAUAAAACAAAUGACAAACAAAAUAAAUAAUAAUUCCAAAAUUUUUUGAAUAAGACGAAUGAUCAAACAUUGAUAAACAAAAACUUAAAAACUUAAAAAGACAAGUAAUAUGGGACGGAGGUAGUACUCCAUAAUAUUAUUAUGAAUGCCUAACUGGAACACAAGAUAAGAAAAAAAAUGUUCCUUGCGUUUUUAAUUUAGAGCUCUGGUCUGACUUGAAAGAAACUACAUUACUUGUUCAUUUUUAAUUUCCGAGAAAAAAAUUGUUCCUUGCGUGGUCAGAAUUAAACCAAUCAUAAACAGUAUCAAAGAACCAAUUAGACUUCGUGUUUUAUUCCGUACUAGCAUGAAUCUCGUUGCAGACAUCUCAUAUGGUCAGCAAGCAUAGUUACCUGCUAUCACAAAAACUAGUAGUACCAUUCUCAUUCAACAUAAAUACACUAUGGCGUUUCUCUUUUGAUUUGUGUCAAUGUGCAUAAUAUGCUGACACCGAUAUAAAAUAACUUAUCAUUAUGUUAAAAAAAAUAAGUGCAUGACAUGAUGAGUGCCUAACUAGAGCACAAGAAUUUCGCAGAAAUUUCAUGGUUUUCAGUUUUCAAGUUUCAAAGGGAGGACAACGAACAUUACUAUAAAGCAGACAAGUUGAGUUUACUGCUUACUAUACGUAAUUAUCAUAGCUAAUAUAGGUCAGUAAAAAGGGACGUCCACCACAAAUCCCCAUCUCCUACACGCAAAUAUUCAGAGAUCAAAGUUGUAAAAUACAUAAAUACCUUAUCACUGCUUGGUAAACAUAAAUGUACCAUACGGUUCUAUAAUUCUUAAUAUUUUAGAAAAUGACACGGUCUUAAAAAAUUAUCUUCGACUAUGAUUUUUCUAUUAUAACAUAUAAAAAAUAAGUUGUAAGAUUAAUAUAUACAUCGUGUUAUAGUGUUUUCAAUCUAAAUAGUUUAAAAUUUAUUGAUUCUCAGUCUUAUCUAAAACGUCAAAAGUUAUGAAACGGGGUGAGUACACUGUUUAAGGGUGUAUACUAGCAUACAUGACAUUUAUGAAUUGCCUAACUGUGGAACACGAGAAUUCCUCAGAAAUUAUAGUUUUUUCACUUUUCAAGUUUCAAAAGGAGGAAGACGAAUACUCCUGCAAAGCAGGCAAGUUGAGUUCACUGCUGACUGCUACCUCAUUAUCAUAGCUAAUCUAGGUCUGUAAAAAGGGACAUCCACUCCAAAUCUCCAUCUCCAACACGCAAAACGAGCCGCCAAGAACCUGUCACCGACUGAAUCACGUAUUCUUGUCCAUCAAAUCGGUAAACCAGCACGAAGAAUUUUCCCCCAUGUGAUGGAUAAAUAAUGGAUGCAUUCAAAAUGAAUUCAGAAUUCUUCAGAAUUCGACACCAGAGAGGCAAUGCAUGGUCG
rnacentral:sRNA from 1 species